UAGAAAAACUACUCAUAUUCCUUUUUAUA
rnacentral:piRNA from 1 species